rnacentral:lncRNA from 1 species
AGCCAACAUGACCUCCCAAGAGCUUUCCUCCUGCCUUCCCACCACAGGCUUCUCAUUGGUAAUAAGAUUCAUGUUCAAACCUGGAACCUCUCAGGGAAAGGAGUGCUAGGAAGUGGCUCCAAGUCUCAGAUGGGACUCCUGGGGGUGCCACGUUGAUAACAGGUUAUAUGUAUUUUGAAACAGGAAAUCUCGCCAUCCUCACCAAAGCCAUUUCCUUGAGAGGAUUUUAUCUGGUUUGUCUCCUUGACUCCAGGCAGGGCUCCAUUCCAACCAGAUGGAAGAAUGCAGACAUCUCACAUCAUUUACACCCAGAAGGCUGUCAGCAGCAGCGCUCAGGGAGUGAGAGUGUUUAAUCUCGAGGAGGAAAUAGAAUGUAUACACACCCUGCAAACUGAGAUGUUUUACGUUGGCUCUGGCUCCUACCGCCCCCCAUGUGUGGCAGCAGCUACCAAGACUCUACUGUGAAUCCCCAUGACUGUCAUCACCAGCUCCCGUUGGUCCCUGGGGUGGUUUGGCCGCAGUUACAUUGGCACAGUCAUUGGAAAAAUCAUUUCUGUACAUCGCAUCACUGGUGCAUCUGGGCUUCUGCCUGAAGCACAUGUCAGGAGGAAUUGUUGGCAACCCUGAGGGCAAGGACGCAUCUGCCUUGGGCUCCAGGGGUGGUGUGGCUUGCUGGAGUGGGAGGUGCGCAGCCCAGCAGGGUCAGACAUUUCAGUAUGCCACCCCACCCACCACACCCUACUCAGAGUGCAGGCCCCUGCGGCAAAAGCCUGUGCAUGUGCUUUUCUCUCACGGCCCUCAAGAGAGGCCAAAGCUUGUGUUACUCUCACUUGCAUCCUCUGAUGACCUAAAGAGGGGAGAGAGGUCAUUUUCAUGGGGCCAAUUCUAUUCUCUUUUUCUCUUCUCCCUUCUCCUCUUCUUCCUCUUUUUCCCCAUGACAUAUGUAUUAAAAAGUCCACAGACUCUGGUGUACUUCUGGUGGGAAUAUAAUUAAUAUGACCAUUGUGAUAUACUGUUAGUAACAUCUCAUAAAGCCAAAUAUAUAUGGAUACAGUAUGACCCAGCAAUCUCACUCCUAGAAAUAAACCCAAUAGAAAUGCAUGCAAUAGUGCAUCAAAAGGCAUGCACUAGAAUGGUCUUAGCAGCAUUAUUCAUAGUAGCCCCAAACUGGAAAUAAUACAAACGUCCAUCCACAGUAGAAUUGCUGAACAAUUUGUGCUAUACUUACUACAGCAAUGAGAAUGAACAAAAUGAACAACCUGCAGCAACAUGAAUGGACCUCACAAGGAUAAUGUUGAACAUAAGAAGCCAGGCACAAAAGAGUGCAUAUUUUUGUGUCUGACUCCAUUACAUGAAGUUCAAGAAGAAGAAACAUUAAUGUAUGGUUUUGGAAGGCAGGAUGUGGGGAGGUAGUUGGGGCAUGAGGAGGUUUUGGGGGUACAGGGUGGUGGCAGUGUUUUGCUUCUGGUUCUGGGGGAUGGCUAAGUGUGUGUUCAUUUCAUGUAAGUUCAUAUGCAUUUGUGCAAUUGCCUGUAAAGUUGUCAUACUUCGAUAAUAUUAAAAAUAUGAAAAAUAAAAAUAUAAAGCCCAUAUGGGAGAGCACACUUCUCUGCAUUUUUUUUGCACUUUGGCGAUGAGCUGACAGAGGGGUUGUUAACAAGCACCCUACUUGCUCACUGUGCUUGGUAGGAUCCUCAACCUAGCGAGUCCCACCCCAUUCC